GAGGGGCAGCGGGGGCGAAGCUUGCUUCGCCUGCCGGCGACCGGCGCACGGGUGAGUAACACGUAUGCGACCUGCCCCCCGCAGGGGGAUAACCGGGAGAAAUCCCGACUAAUACCGCGUAACGCCGCUGGGCUGCAUGGCCCGGCGGCCAAAGGAAGCGAUUCCGGCGGGGGAUGGGCAUGCGGCGCAUUAGCUAGUCGGCGGGGUAACGGCCCACCGAGGCGACGAUGCGUAGGGGUUCUGAGAGGAAGGUCCCUCACACUGGUACUGAGACACGGACCAGACUCCUACGGGAGGCAGCAGUGAGGAAUAUUGGUCAAUGGGCGGGAGCCUGAACCAGCCAAGUCGCGUGAGGGAAGACGGUCCUACGGAUUGUAAACCUCUUUUGCCGGGGAGCAACGGGGUCCUUGCGAGGGCCCGAUGAGAGUACCCGGAGAAAAAGCAUCGGCUAACUCCGUGCCAGCAGCCGCGGUAAUACGGAGGAUGCGAGCGUUAUCCGGAUUUAUUGGGUUUAAAGGGUGCGUAGGCGGGCUGUUAAGUCAGCGGUCAAAUGUCGGGGCUCAACCCCGGCCUGCCGUUGAAACUGGCGGCCUCGAGUGGGCGAGAAGUAUGCGGAAUGCGUGGUGUAGCGGUGAAAUGCAUAGAUAUCACGCAGAACUCCGAUUGCCAAGGCACCCUACCCGCCGCCCGACUGACGCUGAGGCACGAAAGCGUGGGUAUCGAACAGGAUUAGAUACCCUGGUAGUCCACGCAGUAAACGAUGAAUGCUAGCUGUCCGGUUCUACGGGACUGGGUGGCACAGCGAAAGCGUUAAGCAUUCCACCUGGGGAGUACGCCGGCAACGGUGAAACUCAAAGGAAUUGACGGGGGCCCGCACAAGCGGAGGAACAUGUGGUUUAAUUCGAUGAUACGCGAGGAACCUUACCCGGGCUCAAACGCCAAAGGACAGCCGUUGAAAGGCGGCCUCCCUCCGGGGUCUUUGGCGAGGUGCUGCAUGGUUGUCGUCAGCUCGUGCCGUGAGGUGUCGGCUUAAGUGCCAUAACGAGCGCAACCCCCAUCGACAGUUGCUAACGGGUAGAGCCGAGGACUCUGUCGAGACUGCCGGCGCAAGCUGCGAGGAAGGCGGGGAUGACGUCAAAUCAGCACGGCCCUUACGUCCGGGGCGACACACGUGUUACAGUGGCCGGUACAGCGGGAUGCCAGGGCGCGAGCCCGAGCGGAACCCGAAAACCGGUCUCAGUUCGGAUUGGAGUCUGCAACCCGACUCCAUGAAGCUGGAUUCGCUAGUAAUCGCG
rnacentral:rRNA from 1 species